CCUACGGGGGGCUGCAGUGGGGAAUAUUGGACAAUGGGCGAAAGCCUGAUCCAGCCAUGCCGCGUGUGUGAAGAAGGCCUUCGGGUUGUAAAGCACUUUCAGUGGGGAAGAAAGCCUUGGGGCUAAUACCCUCGAGGAAGGACAUCACCCACAGAAGAAGCACCGGCUAACUCCGUGCCAGCAGCCGCGGUAAUACGGAGGGUGCGAGCGUUAAUCGGAAUUACUGGGCGUAAAGUGCGCGUAGGCGGUCUGAUAAGCCGGUUGUGAAAGCCCCGGGCUCAACCUGGGAACGGCAUCCGGAACUGUCAGGCUAGAGUGCAGGAGAGGAAGGUAGAAUUCCCGGUGUAGCAGUGAAAUGCGUAGAGAUCGGGAGGAAUACCAGUGGCGAAGGCGGCCUUCUGGACUGACACUGACGCUGAGGUGCGAAAGCGUGGGUAGCAAACAGGAUUAGAUACCCUAGUAGUC
rnacentral:rRNA from 1 species